GAUUUCAAUUGAAAAAGUCAUCAACAACAAAGUUGAAUAACUCAUCAAGAUCUAAAACUUUUAUUUUUGUUAUUUCUUCAUCCGACGAAAUGUUAGUAAUAUUAUUCACAAAAUUUACAUAUAUGUGUUAUAGUUUAUAAAACCAGAUAAGAGAUAUGUCAAUUUUGUGAACAAUGUUACUAUCACUUUGUCGUAUGAAGAAAUGAUUAAAAUAAAAGUUUUAGAUCUUGACGAGUUAUCCAACUUUGUUGUUGAUGACUUUUUCAGUUGAUAUC
rnacentral:pre_miRNA from 1 species